GGCCUAAUGGUCUAGUAGUAUGAUUCUCGCUUUGGGAGGUCACUUCACUUGCGAGAGGUCCUGGGUUCAAUUCCCAGUUAGGCCC